UACGUAGGGUGCGAGCGUUGUCCGGAAUUAUUGGGCGUAAAGAGCUCGUAGGCGGUGUGUCACGUCGGCCGUGAAAACCUGCAGCUUAACCGUGGGCGUGCGGUCGAUACGGGCAUCACUGGAGUUCGGCAGGGGAGACUGGAAUUCCUGGUGUAGCGGUGAAAUGCGCAGAUAUCGGGAGGAACACCGGUGGCGAAGGCGGUUCUCUGGGCCUGUACUGACGCUGAGACGCGAAAGCGUGGGGAGCGAACAGG
rnacentral:rRNA from 1 species